rnacentral:lncRNA from 1 species
AUUAAAAGGAAAUAUGUGAUAUUUGAAGACAUGUACAGGAGGAAGUGACUGAGUUUAGUAGGGGAAUCUGGAAGACUUCAAAGAGGAGGUGUCUUCUGGUUUAAAACAUACUUAUGAACUUUAUAAUUUGAUCAAUGAACCUUCCUAUUAUUAAGAUGUGUCUGAUGAGUCCCCUAAAGCCCACCUUAGCCUACUCCACCUGUGAUCCACUCCUGGAAAUAGUCACACUGCCUAAUUAACUGGAAGGCUUUUCUCUUUCCCAUAUUCUGAAAAGAAAUAUUCCUCGGCUUAAAGACAGGAACAAGAUGGUCUUGAGUAAUAAAAAAAAUAAAUGUUCUACUUACAUACCA